GUUCCCCCCCAGAGGCGCGGCCGCCUGCCCGCUGCGGGACCCGGGGCCCGGCGGUGCCCUCACCCCCCCCCACCCCCCUUCCCCUGUCUCCUCGCCCCCCCCUGAGACGGCAUCCCCGCUGGCGGUGCGGCGGCCUGCGCUCCCCCGGGGAGCCCGGAGCGGCACCUGGGAGAGGAGGAUGGCACGGGGAGGGGGUGCGCGAAUAAGGCCCGUUCUUCGGGGGAAUCUAAACGACAAGGGGGUACGACAGAGUCUGUAAAGCUGGUAUGUUGAAGCGAGCACUGCUGCCCUGUUUUAACCGUAGGGCUUUUGCCAAGCGCUAAAAUCUAGAUGAUGAUAAGAUUCAAUCCAAAAUCUCAUGGUCUGCAACUGACGUGUCACUUCAGCCCCUUCUCAGCAGAACGGCUGUAGGCUACAAGUGAGAGGCAGCGAAAGCAUGCCCUGAUGUCGAAUGUUUUCUUCAUUUCUCCUCUAUCUGCUCUGGGUUUGAGGAUUUUGUCCACCAACUGACAAUAACCCAGUGUUUUUACAGAUAAAAGCCAAACUGUAUCCACUAUUUUUCAAGAAUCAAAUGAAGAAGACGACAUAUUCAUGUAUGUGUUUGCUAAGUGUUUCAUACUUUUACUUAACACUGUCAAGCAUACCUAGGUCAUGCUUCUUCACCGUUGGAUACAUGUAUAUGAACUAUAUUCCCUGACAAUUAUUCCAGUUAAUACAUCUGUCAAAGAAAAGUAAUUUAUACCACAAAUUAAGUAUGGGAAAAUUCAUUCUAAUGAUAGGAAACGUUCCAUUUCUAAUUUUGGUAGUGGAAUUCCUCAAAAUUUUUAAUGAUACAAUGUAACAAACAGUAAAAUAAUUCUUAGUCAGAUUCACCUUAUUAGGAAUGUCUUAAGUUUGCAUUUCAUUUCCUCAGAAUAUGCUGUAAAAUUAAGUGGGCCAAAACCUGGUUUACUUUAUAGGGUCAAAUUUCUGUCUUAGAACGAAUAUAUAAAAGGUGAACAACUGUUGCUGUUAGCUACAGAUUUUGAACCAAUAUCUAGCUUAUAAUGGUAUAAUAAACAAUGGCAAACAAAUAUGCUGCAGAAUUUAAGUUCUGAAGAAAGGUUGGAAAUCAGUUCAUUCAACUCCAGUACUGUUGUUUCCCAUUUCAGUUUGUCCUAAUUAACAUAGAAAAAAAAAAAUCUUCAAAGAUGUUCAGGAUUGCUUUUUACAUAAUGAAAAUUAUUAAAUGAGCCAUUUGCAUUGUUUUUUACACCUCUCCUUUGUCCAUGAAUUCAUUUUCAUAUGAAUAUUCCUGUGGGGCAAACUGGGACAUUAAUUUUGCAAUAAAAGACCUAGCUAAAUUUAACAAAUAUAUAUAUAUGAAAAUAUAUAUGGCAUAGGCAGACAAGUGUGUAAAAUCCACAGAUACAUCCUCUUAUGGCCAAGUCUCCCUUCGCUAACCCCAAAUUGUAAUUUUGUAGUAGGUCUAUGUUAAAAAAAAAUUCUUUGGGUCAGGUAGAACCAUCAUAAGUCUCCAUGCUACAGCUAGAGGUAAACAAUUCAGCCGCUUCACAUAUGCAGUUCAAAAGUGAUCAUAAUUUUAAAUCAGAAUAGUAGAUUCUGGUACCGAUUUUCAGCAACUGUAAACAUGCCCUGAAGUCAAUAAAUCCAUGUUAAUUUGCAUCACUCAGGGAUUUAUUCUUCCUUUCCUUUCUCUCACACACCUGAGACAAGGAGUUUCUACCAGUUUGUCAGAUUCCUUGGGAUAAGAAGCUACAAGAUCAAAACCACCUGAGUUAAUGGAUAUCCAAUACUGCUGUCCAAGAGACGUCCAGUAUUCUAAUGCGCCACACUAUGGAGCUGGCCUGAGGUGAGAAGUAUUAUACACACCUCCCAAAUUACAGAUGCUGGAAGCUAGGAUCAUUGCCAGGUGAUACUCUUCUUCA